AUUGAACGCUGGCGGCAGGCCUAACACAUGCAAGUCGAGCGGAUGAGAGGGGCUUGCUCCUCGAUUCAGCGGCGGACGGGUGAGUAAUGCCUAGGAAUCUGCCUAGUAGUGGGGGACAACGUUUCGAAAGGAACGCUAAUACCGCAUACGUCCUACGGGAGAAAGGGGGGGAUCUUCGGACCUCACGCUAUUAGAUGAGCCUAGGUCGGAUUAGCUAGUUGGUAGGGUAACGGCCUACCAAGGCGACGUUCCGUAACUGGUCUGAGAGGAUGAUCAGUCACACUGAAACUGAGAUACGGUCCAGAUUCCUACGGGAGACAUCAGUGGGAAAUAUUGGACAAUGGGCGAAAGCCUGAUCCAGCCAUGCGGCGUGUGUGAAGAAGGCCCUCGGGUCUUAAAGCACUUUAAGUUGGGAGGAAGGGCUUACAGCGAAUACCUGUGAGUUUUGACGUUACCGACAGAAUAAGCACCGGCUAACUUCUUGCCAGCCGCCGCGGUAA
rnacentral:rRNA from 1 species